GACGAACGCUGGCGGCGUGCUUAACACAUGCAAGUCGAACGGAAAGGCCCUGCUUUUGUGGGGUGCUCGAGUGGCGAACGGGUGAGUAACACGUGAGUAACCUGCCCUUGACUGUGGGGUAACUUCAGGAAACUGGGGCUAAUACCGCAUAGGAGCUCCUGCUGCAUGGUGGGGGUUGGAAAGUUUCGGCGGUUGGGGAUGGAAUCGCGGCCUAUCGGUUUGUUGGUGGGGUAGUGGCUUACCAAGGCUUGGACGGGUAGCCGGCCUGGGAGGGUGACAGGACACAUUGGGAUUGAGAUACGGCCCAGACUCCUACGGGAGGCAGGGGUGGAGAAUAGUGCACAAUGGGCGGAGGCCUGAUGCAGCAACGCCGCGUGGGGGAGGACGGCCUUCGGGUUGGAAACCGCUUUCGCCUGUGACGAAGCGUGAGUGACGGUAAUGGGUAAAGAAGCACCGGCUAACUACGUG
rnacentral:rRNA from 1 species